CUAAUCCUCAGGCCAGAACAGCUCCACCUGCUAGUUUAUUAAAGUGAAACAUCUGCCCUGGUGCAGGUCGUUAACCUGAGGGGCUGGGCGGGGCUGCUGGUUCCCCUGGUAACUGACGAGCCAGCAUGACGUCAGUUCCCCUAAAAAGGCAGCCUCCUUCUCCCCGCCCAGGAGUGAAGAUGGCGGCUGUGUUCUGUUCUCUGGCCACUGCACACAAGGGGCUGGUGCUCCAAGACUUUGCUUCACACAUUGGGAGCCCUGGGCACAAUUUGACUGCUUUUUCACUUUUGGGAAGUGAAGUCCCAGCGCACAGCCCACCCAGGGGCAUCUGUGAUGCACACCAUCUCCCUUUGUGCCCUGGUUCUGCAUGCCUCCCACUGUGA
rnacentral:lncRNA from 1 species